GAUGAAGAACGUAGCGAAAUGCGAUACUUGGUGUGAAUUGCAGAAUCCCGUGAACCAUCGAGUCUUUGAACGCAAGUUGCGCCCGAAGCCAUUAGGCCGAGGGCACGCCUGCCUGGGCGUCACACGUCGUUGCCCCCCCAUCUACUCCUUCGGGAUUGCGGGGGCGGGUGAUGGCCUCCCGUGCGCCUCGUCGCGCGGUUGGCAUAAAUGACAAGUCCUCGGCGACGCACGCCACGACAAUCGGUGGUUGCGAAACCUCGGUUGCCCGUCGUGUGCGGUCGUCGCGCAUCGAGGGCUCGAAAAAAUUGCCGGGCUCCGGCUCGGCUUUCAACGCGACCCCAGGUCAGGCGGGGUUACCCGCUGAAUUUAAGCAUAUCAAUAAGCGGAGGA
rnacentral:misc_RNA from 1 species